UAUCAUUUUAUCAUCCAUUAAUUUUUUUCAAUCAAUCUUUUAAUGAGCACUGAAUUUUUUUCUCUAGACGUGUGUGUGUUUGUGUGUGUGUGUGUGUAGUAUGAAAAUAUUGAGAAUUUUAUCUAACGAAAUUCUACUAAGAGCAGACCCACUGAUAUGAAAGGACUGAAGGUAGUAAUAUUCAUUCAUGUCAAUGGGGACUUCCGGGAAAAUGGCGAUGGAGGAGGUUUGUUUGCUCUGAGCUCUGGGACUCUGGGACUCUUUUAAUUUAUUUUCUUCUUUUAUGGUUUUAGCCUUUUUAAAACUCAGAACAUUUCAAUGCCCUGUUAGUGCUCCGCAAUUUAUGAGCCAAAGCCUGCAGUUUACAUCCCGAACUGUCAGCAUGGGAGGGCUGUUAGCACAGAACCGAGGAGAUAGCGUUUUGCUCUGAAGCAGUUUUACCGUUUUACUGUUUUAUGGCCGCCCUGCCUGGCUCUCAAUGCACAGUGGAAUUAGUCGGAGGCACUGCAGUCGGAGGAACUGCUCUCUAACCGCCACGCAAUUCAGAGGUCUGAAUAUUACAAGUGAGAUAAGAAGAACUCCGGCAACAGCCAACAGCCAAGCAAGAUAAGUGAGCUGGACCUUCCCAAUCAACAGCAGCUUUGUGAUAUCCAGUGGCAUGACAGGAGAGAGUACGAUAUACUGCAGAAACAAGAAAAAGGACAAUUGCUCAAUAAACAGGUUGUCUGGAAGUGCCUUCAGCUGAUGGGGAAGACCCCUUCCUCUUCCCGGGGACCUGGAGAACCUCUGCUAGUCAAGAGUACAGUUGGAUGGCACGGGACUACAUGGACAAACAUGCUGACCUGAUAUAAGACAGCUUCCUCUGUUCCUAUCUCCAGAACCCAUCUAAAAUUCUGCUCCCACAGUGUGUGGCCAUGACUCUGUUGUACACACACAACUUUACAUGCACCAGCUAUAGCUGUGGCUCAUCAUGCCACAUGAGCUAAUUGGUCUUCAAGGUCCCUUGCCACUCUGUCCUUUUGGGCCAUUUAGCAAGUCAGUUCCCACAUGCAAGGAGAGUGUGAAACAUGCAGCAGGCGCUGAGUGCAAUUAAAGAUGUUGUUGUCCCCAUGCAAUGCAGCUUCCUUCCUUGGGAAUCCCAGUGAUGCUUUGGCUUGAGGCUGCCAAUUCUUCAGCAGACAACAUUCCACAGAAGAGACAGCUAGCCAGAAAGGCUAACAAUGAAGGCAGAAGAAUUAUCUGCAAAGAGAAAAAGACAGAGAGGGCAAGUUUAAACAACAACAGCAUUUGUAUUCAUUUCCGAUGGACCUCGCUCUUCAUAAUUCUACUACACCAUGUAUGUAGGGGUGUAUAUACACGUGUGUGUACACCCACACCCACCCACCCUCUGAAACAUACUGUAGUCCCUGAACGCUUAAGCCAGGGAUGGCUAAGCCUGGGAGCCAGAUGCCACCCUCCAAGCAAACAUUUCUGGCUCCCCAAAUCCCCACCAAUUUUGGCAGCAGCGGCAAAAAGAAAAAAAACCUCUCUGCCCAGUUCAGUGAUCUGAUGCGGAUAUAAAUCAUCUCCCCAGUCAUCAGUUCGAUAAUUUGAUGAGCGGCUGGGGGGUGAUAACCCCUCUUCCUCAACUGAUCAGCAUAGGUCAGCUGAGGAGGAGGGCUGUGUGCCUCUGUGUGCACACACGUGAGAGUGUGGGUGACCAUACACUCCACUGGCCUCCAGAGAGUUGGCCCUUGGGGUAUAAAAAGUUAGCUACCAUGGCUUAGGCCAUAAUAAAUGUGCUAUUCUUUGAUCUUAAAGUUGAUUUUGUACAAAGUAAGUUUGCCAACCACCUUCUAAAUUAAUGGUUACAUUUUAUUUCCAAACCCCGCGUCUAUGUAGACAUCCACAAAAGAGUCAGCUGAAAGUUUUAGAGAGCUGCUAAAGGUAAAUAAACUAAGCUGCAAACGGUUCCACAGGGUACACUCCACAAUGAUCCAAACACUCUAAAGAGGAUUCCUGAACUACAGGGAGCAGAGGAGCCAAUGUGAUGCCCUCCAGAUGUUGCUGGACUAUAACUCCCAUCAUCCCUGACAACUGGCCAUGCUGGAUGCCCCAUGGGAGUAUGAGUCUAACAACAUCUGAAGGACACCUCGUUAGCUACCCUGCAUGGAUUAGAAACUGGUGGACCCAUAAUAAAACCUGGCCUGCAAAAUGAUGCCAAAUGUUCCCCACUAAUUGCUAACAGUCCCGGGGGGGGAGCCCUGUAGCCAGAGUGGAGGAAAUAAAUUCACCCCACGUCCCAGAGCUGUGCUUCACCCCUCUAAGAUUUUUUGGGGGAAAUCUUUUUAAUUUGUGACAUGACAGGCAAUGACUGCCUCCAUUUAAAGAAGGACAGCUUGUUUUAAGAACAGGAGCAAUUUAAUAGGACCCUCUGAAAAAUCCAGUGAAUAAGGCAGAGUGUGUGCAGAACACAAGCUUCAUCUGGAAGAGCUCCCAAGAGUCUGCUCUCUCAAGGUUUUCUCUGACUGAGGGUGGAUUUUUCAUGAUCAGAAUCACCCUAUAAUUUCUUAAAUGACUCUGGAAAAAAAAGUCUGUAUGAUAACAUGACCCUUGAAGAGUUAAAUAUUAGAACUUUGUAUUAUGGGCUAGAGUCAGACUCUACUCCUUGGACUUUCUUUUCCUCUGCUCUUCAGCAGCAAUACAGAAGCAUGUUUGUUUGCCUACAGUAAGAAGAGUUUAUUUAUUCUACAGUUAUUAUGAUGAGUACAGCAGGAUUGGGUGCUUAUUGCUAAAGGCUGAAAUAAAUAGAUAACUUAAAAGUGAUUUGAAAAAAUAUCUACCGAGUUACUCUUUACUCUUUUAAAGCACUCGCUACACUUAUAAUCAUAAUGGCUGUUUUUUCUUUUCUUUUCUUCUUGAGUACUUAAUGGAAAAGGAUGAAAACAGUCCCAGAGGAAUAGAAACACUGGUGUACACACUACAGUUAGGUGGCUGGCUAGCCACCUAGGCUGUAUCUCAGGCCUUAUUUCUGAUUUUCCCAAUGUGUGCAGCUCAGCAUAAGGUCUUUUCAGUGU